rnacentral:rRNA from 2 species
UUGACCUCGAAUCAGGUAGGAAUACCCGCUGAACUUAAGCAUAUCAAUAAGCGGAGGAAAAGAAACCAACAGGGAUUGCCCCAGUAACGGCGAGUGAAGCGGCAACAGCUCAAAUUUGAAAUCUGGCUCUCGGGCCCGAGUUGUAAUUUGUAGAGGAUGCUUUUGGUGAGGUGCCUUCCGAGUUCCCUGGAACGGGACGCCAUAGAGGGUGAGAGCCCCGUCUGGUUGGACGCCGAACCUCUGUAAAGCUCCUUCGACGAGUCGAGUAGUUUGGGAAUGCUGCUCUAAAUGGGAGGUAUAUGUCUUCUAAAGCUAAAUACCGGCCAGAGACCGAUAGCGCACAAGUAGAGUGAUCGAAAGAUGAAAAGAACUUUGAAAAGAGAGUUAAACAGUACGUGAAAUUGUUGAAAGGGAAGCGCUUGUGACCAGACUUGGGCUUGGUUGAUCAUCCGGGGUUCUCCCCGGUGCACUCUUCCGGCCCAGGCCAGCAUCAGUUCGCCCUGGGGGACAAAGGCUUCGGGAACGUGGCUCUCUCCGGGGAGUGUUAU